AUUGUUGCCAAUACAGGAGAACGU
rnacentral:miRNA from 1 species